rnacentral:lncRNA from 1 species
ACCUCUAGAAAAAGCUAUUUAAUGAUUAACUACUAGUUUCCUUUCUCUCAUAGUUCCUUUUCUUUUACAGUUUAUCUGUUCUGUCUAUUCUGACUCAAAGGUCUUUGAAAUAGAACCUGGCUCUCCAAAUGACAGAAGUAAAUAUGCAUGGGUCUUGGGAAGAGGAUCAAGAUCUCUCACACGCUAGAAAACUCCCAUAACUGCUAAUCUUGGUCUCCUGUGAUAUACAAGAAGUCUAUUGUGGCCCUACCAGAAACCCCUCUACAUUCAGAGACAAUCAGCAAAUGAAAGAAGUCUGGGACUGA